rnacentral:rRNA from 1 species
AGAGUUUGAUCAUGGCUCAGAACGUACGCUGGCGGCACGCCUAACACAUGCAAGUCGAACGCAGUAGCAAUACUGAGUGGCAGACGGGUGAGUAACAUGUGGGAAUCUGCCUUGUGGUUCAGGACAACAUUGGGAAACCGAUGCUAAUACUGGAUAAGCCCUUACGGGGAAAGUUUUAAUGCCAUAAGAUGAGCCCGCAUUUGAUUAGUUAGUUGGUGAGGUAAUGGCUCACCAAGACAAUGAUCAAUAGCUGAUCUGAGAGGAUGAUCAGCCACACUGGGACUGAGACACGGCCCAGACUCCUACGGGAGGCAGCAGUGGGGAAUCUUGCACAAUGGAGGAAACUCUGAUGCAGCGAUGCCGCGUGAGUGAAGAAGGCCUUUGGGUUGUAAAGCUCUUUCGUCGGGGAAGAAAAUGACUGUACCCGAAUAAGAAGGUCCGGCUAACUUCGUGCCAGCAGCCGCGGUAAUACGAAGGGACCUAGCGUAGUUCGGAAUUACUGGGCUUAAAGAGUUCGUAGGUGGUUGAAAAAGUUGGUGGUGAAAUCCCAGAGCUUAACUCUGGAACUGCCAUCAAAACUUUUCAGCUAGAGUAUGAUAGAGGAAAGCAGAAUUUCUAGUGUAGAGGUGAAAUUCGUAGAUAUUAGAAAGAAUACCAAUUGCGAAGGCAGCUUUCUGGAUCAUUACUGACACUGAGGAACGAAAGCAUGGGUAGCGAAGAGGAUUAGAUACCCUCGUAGUCCAUGCCGUAAACGAUGUGUGUUAGACGUUGGAAAUUUAUUUUCAGUGUCGCAGCGAAAGCGAUAAACACACCGCCUGGGGAGUACGACCGCAAGGUUAAAACUCAAAUGAAUUGACGGGGACCCGCACAAGUAGUGGAGCAUGUGGUUUAAUUCGAAGAUACGCGCAGAACCUUACCAACACUUGACAUGUUCGUCGCGACUCUAAGAGAUUAGAGUUUUCGGUUCGGCCGGACGAAACACAGGUGCUGCAUGGCUGUCGUCAGCUCGUGUCGUGAGAUGUUGGGUUAAGUCCCGUAACGAGCGCAACCCUUGUCCUUAGUUGCCAGCACAUAAUGGUGGGAACUCUAAGGAGACUGCCGGUGCAAACCGUGAGGAAGGUGGGGAUGACGUCAAAUCAUCACGGCCCUUACGUCCUGGGCCACACACGUGCUACAAUGGCAAGUACAAAGGGCAGCUACCAGGUGACUGGAUGCGAAUCUCUAAAGCUUGUCUCAGUUCGGAUUGGAGUCUGCAACUCGACUCCAUGAAGCUGGAAUCGCUAGUAAUCGGAUAUCAGCCAUGAUCCGGUGAAUACGUUCCCGGGCCUUGUACACACCGCCCGUCAAGCCAUGGAAGCUGGGGGUGCCUGAAGUCGGUAACCGCAAGGAGCUGCCUAGGGUAAAACUAGUGACUGGGGCUAAGUCAUAACAAGGUAACCGU